rnacentral:lncRNA from 1 species
CGUAUAUGUUAUAAAUAAUAUGAUGGAGCCCACAUGAAUAAUAUGAUGGAGUUCACAUGUUGGAAGAAUUUUCCUACAAAAGGGUUCACCUCCCCCAUUGUAAGGGACACAUAGAGAAAUGAUCAAUUCCGAUUGCAGAGAAGUUUUCCUCUGCUUCCUCCGUUUUUCUCUCCAAUUUUUAUUUCGUUUACAACACGUUAUCAGCACGAAUAUCUCUAAAAUACCAGCUGGGAUAUUCGACCAAAAUUUUUGUGAAGCUUUCUUCCUUCUUCAUAAACUCAGCCUCGAAGAUGCGUUUGAUUGCAGCCAGACGCUUCUUCAUCCUCCACACGAAACAAAUCUUCCUCAAACUCAAAUGGUUGAAGACUGCUAAAUGAGUCUUGUGAUGACUAUGCAUCUUCCACUCAUGUGAGAAGACCUGGCACUUGGUCAAAGCGUCGGUGAGGUCCAGAAGCACAGAGAUAAAGCGACAGUAGUAAUCUCCGAUAUGACUGGAAGCAUUUCGUCUGCAACCUGUGUUGCACAAAGGUCAUGGACCAAAAUACUACUCCAGUUAUCCAACCAUGGUAGAUAUGAGCCUAUGAGGUUCAGCUUAAGGAGGGCACUGGGCUAGACAACUCUUCUGUAUCAAGAGCUACCAUCUCCAUGACAUCAGCUGUACAUGGAAUUCCAGUCCCCAGACCCAUCUUGCACAUGCAUGUGUCAUCAUGUAAAUCCACAAAGCCCAAGUCACCAUCUCCAGUCGCUUCCCCAAAAUCGGCUCCACCCGCUUCAACUCCGGUGUCAGCAACACUCAAGCCUGCGGCCGGGGCUCCAACUCCGGUAGCUACUCCAAGUCAAGAACCGAAGAAGGAGACCUUCGAGACAAGGCAGAGUCAGAGUCCUCGGAAGAAACAGGUUGUUGGAUGUUGGCGUAGGACAUAUGAGACACAACGGCAGACGAUGAGGUGUUGUUGCUUUUCUCAGAGCUGGUGGCCGGAGCAGCUGUUUCCCUGGCCCACAGUUCUUCGAGCUCAAGCCUCUUGGCCUCAUAGGCCUUGGAAGCAUCCUCUGGGGUGUUGAAAGUACCCAACCAGGUACGACGCCCUUUGAAAGGGUCACGAAUCUCAGCGGCCCAUUUUCCCCAUUUCCUUUGCCUUACACCUCUGAAAGGUGAAGAGGACUGUCUCCUUGAAGUUCUUGCGAAAAACCCCACCUUGGGUUUUGGGGUUUUGACUCCAUUAUUGCUGUCUUGACAUGAACUCUCGGGCUCGACGACGACCUUAGCUGGAGGCACGGACUUGCAGCUGGUAAGUGGGCUUUGCUUUUCAAAAAUGGCAAGUGGAAAGAUUGGCUGGCUGUCUGUCGGAUAAAUUGACAGCCACCCACUUGGAUAAAUUGACAGCCACCCACUUGGUUUUGGAAUCUUAACGUGGUCGGGUUAAAUAUGACUUCUACCUUAUAAAAUAAUUUGAUAUAUCAGUAUAAUAAUAUCAUACUAUUUGAUUGUGGUGUUAAUAUGAACUCACAAAUAAUUUAUUUUAUUUACUAUAUGGUGUAGGUUUAUUACCCAUACGACAGUAUUUAUUUAAAAGGUGGUGCGGGUUUAUCGUCCACGUCUUUACUGUCAUUUAAAUGUAUGAAGCAGAAUUAGUGCACAUACAAGUAAAUUUACUUUUAUUUUAUGGAUUAAUGGUGCUGUAUGAUGAGUGUUUACAGUAUGCAUAUCAGGACCAGAAGUUCCUUGAUCCUCAUCAUACAAUUACAUCAGGACUUGAAGAUCCUUGAUGAUGAUAUUGAUAUGAGAGCUGGC